AUGCAUGAAAGGGUUAAAGGGAGUGCCUUGGAGUUCUCCUCCUGUUUGUUAUCUACUUUAUGAAUUCCUUUUCCAAAGACCACCUCAAACAAACUCCUUUUUUUGGGUCCUGGAAGCAUUCCUUUCCAUGAUUUUUUUGAACACUAUUGCUUUUAUUUCACUCACUGGUCAGUUGUUGUUUUCUUUUUUGACCUCUAGAGGGCAACAGUGGUUAAUUCUCAAUCCUAGUAUGUUGUAUAUAAGGCACUUAGGCUUUCACAUUCUCUACAUGUGUGAUGAAGGGGGCACACUGCAGGGACUAGACAUGUCCAACUUAUUUGUCUCUUAUCAUUCUACUUCCAAACACCAAUAAGUCUGUGUAUUUUAGAUAUGUAAACACAUUUAGGAUUUCACUGCAGAAGUGUAUUUAAAAAAAAAAAAAGCCAAAACAUGUACAGGACAUGUCUUGGUUUCAUUUCUGAUUUUUGGUUGUUUUUUUUUUCCAGAUGAUAAGGAAUGAAAAACAACUCUCCUCACCUUAUUGUUAUGUUAAAUCACACAAUCUCUGUGUGCCCCAAGUACUUACUUAGACUGUAAUCCCUCCUUUUCACCCAUCGUGUCCCCCCAAAAAUCCACCCUGGGGGCUUUGAUUUGAAAAAGCCCAACGAUCACCGUUUCUCUGUGUCUCAGUCAGAGCUUUCACUUGAUGGUGGGCUUUUGUUUGCUUGUGGGGGGAUGACACUCAGUGAGGGAAAUGACUCAGGGGUGUCAAUAGCCAGCACCCUGAUUGCUGCCUUCCAUUUGACUGGGGUUGGUAGUAUCGUUAGCAACUCAAGGCCUUUUGUUUGACUCAGACUCGGUCGUUGGCUUGAUUUGAUUUCUGACAGGGAGUAAAACCUCGUCUAACAACUUACGUCAACUGUGACCAGACGACAGUACAGCUGCUGCAAAUGACUGAUUUAAAGUCAUUAUCUUUUUUUGAUCACAUGUGGAUAUUAAAUGUUAAGAUGCAAUCCUAAGACAAAUACGGCUGUGUAGCUGAUAGAAGGAAAUUCCAUUGCUUACAUUUUUAUGGUUAAUCACUGACCAUAUUUUCAGUUCAUCAGUCAAACAUCAUCAGUUCUGUUUGUUCCAGAUUCCAUCAUCAACCCUGUUGUUAACCCCCCCCCCGUUCAUUGUCUGUGCCCAGAUUUAACAGCGUCCCCACUGUUAUGACAAGCCAGGACAAGGUACUGAAUUUAAAAACUUUUCUCAAUCAUAGGGAUGGAAACUGCUCACAUUUUGGCAAAAUUUUUUCGAACAGAAUCAGUUACCUAUGAGUUUGUGCUGGUGUGAGGAGAAACUGUUGUAGGGGAGGGUGUUGGGAGGGGUCAGUUAACAAUGAAGGUGAAAUGUCAGUGUCAAAAGACAAUGCCACAGUAUAAUUAUGUAACAAGAACAUAAAAUG